GAUGAACGCUGGCGGCGUGCUUAACACAUGCAAGUCGAACGGGGAUUAUACGCUGAUGCGAUUUCGGUCAAAUCUUGUGUAAUCCCAGUGGCGGACGGGUGAGUAACGCGUGGGUAACCUGCCUUACACCGGGGGAUAACACUUAGAAAUAGGUGCUAAUACCGCAUAAGCGCACGGUCCUGCAUGGGACAGUGUGAAAAACUCCGGUGGUGUAAGAUGGACCCGCGUCUGAUUAGCUUGUUGGCGGGGUAACGGCCCACCAAGGCGACGAUCAGUAGCCGGCCUGAGAGGGUGGACGGCCACAUUGGGACUGAGACACGGCCCAA
rnacentral:rRNA from 1 species